AAGCUAUACACAGAGACCAAGAAGACUCUGACCAUACAAGCCUUGUUGGGUUUCCCCUUCCGUCUAUUACUGUGAGGUCAUACCCUUUUGUCCAAUCACAUUUCCACAUGACUUUCCAUUCUUUGUUGAAUCUAAGCAUAUAAAUAGAUACUUUCCCCUGGAUCCCCCUCAUCAUGUAUAACUUUGAUUAAAUAAAUUUGUUAUGCUUUUUCUUUUGUUAACCUGCCUUUUGUUACAGGGCUGUUGGCUGUGAUCCUUAUGGUGGGUGAGGAAAGGUGUCAUACCUUUCUGCCCUUACAUAAAUACACCACUUUCCUGGGCUCUGGGUCAUUCUAGAGAAGUAUCAAUCAUCAUGGACUCUGUGGGGCCCAUAGUAAUAGUAAAAGUUUUAGACUUAUAAUUUUAA
rnacentral:lncRNA from 1 species